ACGGGAGGCAGCAGUGGGGAAUAUUGGGCAAUGGGCGAAAGCCUGACCCAGCAAUGCCGCGUGAAGGAAGAAGGUCUUCGGAUUGUAAACUUCUUUUAUGAGGGACGAAGGAAUUGACGGUACCUCAUGAAUAAGCCACGGCUAACUACGUGCCAGCAGCCGCGGUAAUACGUAGGUGGCGAGCGUUGUCCGGAAUUAUUGGGCGUAAAGGGAGCGCAGGUGGGAUUGCAAGUCAGUCUUAAAAGUGCGGGGCUCAACCCCGUGAUGGGAUUGAAACUGCAGUUCUUGAGUGCAGGAGAGGAAAGCGGAAUUCCUAGUGUAGCGGUGAAAUGCGUAGAUAUUAGGAGGAACACCAGUGGCGAAGGCGGCUUUCUGGACUGUAACUGACACUGAGGCUCGAAAGCGUGGGGAGCGAACAGGAUUAGAUACCCUGGUA
rnacentral:rRNA from 1 species